rnacentral:lncRNA from 1 species
GAAUAUUUGAAUGUUCUUUUUAUUAUAGUUGAUGUACAAUAUUAUAUGUUACAGGUGUAUAAUAUAGUGAUUCACAGUUUUAAAGGUUAUACUCCAAUCACAGAUAUUAUAAAAUAUUGGCUAUAUUCCCUGUAUUGUACAAGAUAUUCUUGUAGCUUAUUUUAUACAUAAUAGUUUGUACCUCAAAUGAACUUUUGAAUUUAGAGCAGAUAUGAUAGCAGUGUACUAGGGCACAAUAAAAUGGUAUAGAACACAUGAAAUGGUACAGAACAUAGGUGUGGCCAAUAGUUGAAAACGCAGAAUAUACAGCUCUAAAAUAUAGCUAUAAAUGAAGUAUGCCUGAGGCUUCAUAGAACUGAAAAUGGAAAUAUGUGAACAAACUUUACUAAAGCAAUUUUUGAGAAAAACAUAUUCAAAUAAGGUAUUCUAUUGAGACAGUACAAGCUAGUGGUGAACAACACAGAUUCUAGAUCCAGUCUGCCUGGAUUCACAUCCUGCUUCUCAUUCACUAGUUUCACAGUUAGGUAGGUGUCUUGGCUUGGGGUACCUUAAUAAAAUACCAUAGACUGGAGGCUUAAACAACAGAGAUUUAUAUUCUUACAGCUUUAGAGGCUGGAAAGUCUAAGAUCCAAGUGACAUCAGGGUCAGUGUCUGGUGAGGGCUCUCCUUGGGUUGCAGAUGGCUACAUCCCUGAGUCCUCACAUGGCCUUUUCUUGGUGCAUAUGGGGAGGGGGAGACACACACACACACACACACACACACACACACAACACACAUGCACAUACAGAUUGAGAGAAAGAGAAAGAUUUCUUCCUCUUUUUCUAAGUCCAUCAAUCCUAUAGGAUUAGGACAUAUAAAUUAAUUUGGGUGAGGGGGACAUAAUUUAGUCCAUAGUAGCAGGUUACUUAGGCUCCUAGUAUCUAUUUCCUUAGCUGUAAAAGGAGUUCAUUAUCUGGAGUUCCCGUCAUGGCUUAGUGGAAAAGAAUCUGACUAGUAAUCAUGAGGACUUAGGUUCAAUCCCUGGCCUCACUCAGGAUCAAACCUGCAACCUCAUGGUUCCUAGUCAGAUUUGUUAAUCACUGAGCCAUGAUGGGAACUCCUGGGCAGUUUUUUCUAACUCUCCUCCCUGCCCCUUUUGCUACACACACACUUUUGGGAGUCACUCUGGGCCGAGCCCAUUGUUGCUGAUGGAAAUGUACUUUUCAGAUGUGUUGAGGUGUUUAAAAAAGAAGGUUGAAAAUGAUUUUCCUAAAAACCUAUGUUGACAGUUCUUCACAGGUUCUGGGUGCACACAAACACAAUUCUUACAAGAAGUGCCAAUGCAAACUAUAUACCUUUCUUAAAGACCAUCCUCUAAUUAAGACAGAGAUGAGCAGUGGCAGUACUGAUCUAUAAUAAUGACUACCAUUUAUUGAGUGCAUAAUCUGUUUCAAGCAUUGUUCUAAACAGUUAACAUGUGCUGGUUAAUUUAAUCAUCAUGGCAGCUCUAUGAAAUAGAUAAUAUUGUUAUCCUAUUUUAGUUGUGGAAAUAGGCACAGAGAAGUUAAGGAUCUUGCACAAAUGCAAGAUCAUGCAGAUGGAGUUGAGGUUCCAAGCCAGGCUGAGUGGCUUAGAAUUGCCAUCUUAGCUACUCUGCUAGUUCAUGGCUAUUGUCACUCAGGGAAAGCCUGCCUACAGCCAACAGGUUUACAACUAAUUUUCCUUACAGAAUUUUUAUUGAGAACAGUUAGGAGUGCUUUUCCCCAUAAUUAAAAACACAUUAAAGUGCUACUUCUAUUAAAGGAGCUUCCAAAACUUACUAAAAUGAUGUAACAAAAUACCACUUGCCACGUGCUAGAAACUGUACUCAGUUUUACAUGUGUAUUAAACCAUUUUGUCUUCAAUCCUCAAAACAAUCUCAUGAGGUAGGUAUUGUUAAGGAAACUCAGGUAUAGAGGGGCAAAGUUACUUGCUCAAGGUCACACAAAUAAAUGGUGGCACUAGGAUGCAAAUCCAGGUAUUCUGGCACUAGAGUCUCAGCUUUCAGCCCCUAAGCUGAGUAUCAAAAUGCAGAGUAUUGGAGUUCCCAUUGUGGCACAGCAGAAAUGACUCUGACUAGGAACCAUGAGGUUUCGGGUUCAAUCCCUGGCCUCGCUCAGUGGGUUAAGGAUCCGGCGUUGCUGGCAGCUGUGGUGUAGGUCACAGAUGCGGCUCAGAUCCUGUGUUGCUGUGGCCCUGGCAUAGACUGACAGCUACAGCUCCGGUUAGACCCCUAGCCUGGAAACCUCCAUAUGCUGUAGGAGCGGCCCUAGAAAAAAGACAAAAAAAAAAAAAAAAAGAACUGUCAUGUAAGCAUUUCUCAUGU